UCACUAGGUGGCAGUGUAUGAUUAUAUCUGGAAAAAGCAUGGCGUCCAGUCCAGCAUCUCCAGCUGUGACCUCCGACAGCACAAUGAAAUUUCUGUGACUGCACUUGGUCCAGGAGAUAUUACUUCUCAUGUAGCUGUGUACACCGUUUAUCCCAGUGGGUUCCAAGAGCUAUACCGCCAUUUUCUAAGGCUCCCUAGCGGUGCCAUUGUUGAGGUGUUUGGUGAUAUCGGUGGUUUAACGAUUAUCCCCAGUGAACUGGUCACAGCUAUUCAGAAACAUCUAAGUGAAAUAGACAGUACACAGGGAGACUCUCCGGAUAUUAAAUCAAGAGAAAUGAAAGAAAUUAUUGAAAAUAAAACAGGAAUUGGUGGUCCCAAUGAAGAGAUGGGUGUAGAGAAGGAAGCAAUCUUUUCUCACUCCUGAAGGGUGCUCGAGGCCACAGCGCAUUUCCUAAUCCAAACCGUCUAAUACAACAUCGCUGCAAAGCAAGAGUUAUUCAGUAUUUUAAAGUCAAGUGUUCAGUCUUUUGUUGCCCGAGUUGUUUGAUAACUGUUUUCCUUGCCAUUGAACUGAUCUUCCUGAGCAUUAAGUGUUUUAUAUACUAGCUUCAACAUACGAGUUAAUCUAGCACUUUCAUUAACGUUUUGUGUGUACGUGUGGUGGGUGGAGAUUAACUACCAUGUUUUUUCAAGGGUUCUUUCUUGUUGAAAAGGCCCACUUUAAUGUUCAUGGGCUCAUGCUAUAACUUAGCUCAACACUGAAAUAAGAUUUGAGUGCUGUCUUAUCUCUGAAGUGAAUACCCCAUUUGCAUUGGUAUUGAAACAGCCUAUUUAAUUUAGAUUUUUUUUUUUAUGUACACACAUGGUUAGUUUCUUAAUAGAAAAAUAAGUAAAAGGAAAAAAAGGACCUUUUUAUUCUUAUAAUCAAGUCCUCUCAUUUCUGUGGCAUUUUAUGAACUCCAAAAAAUGCCAUGGAUAAGGAGAGAAAGGAGUGGUCUUUGUUCCUAGAUGCUCUAUAAGAACCGAGUUCUAACAUGAGCAUCUUCACUACAAUGUUCUCUUAGCAGUGUACACAUAUUUAUACACUAUGCAGAGUGUUACUUCAAAAUUCAAGAUAGGUUUCUAGGGGACUAUAUAUAUCUAUCAAUUAAGCUAUUUUUCUCAGUAACUUGAGGACAAUUACAGUGCUAAUAAUGAUUUUGUAGGAAUCUACUAGUAAAAUAAGCUUUGCUUUAUCUGUAAACUCAUGCAUAUUUCUUCCAAUUAUUUCACUGAUAACUUCUUUUCUAAUAUUGCAGUUACUCACUGACGUGUGUCACUCACAUUGAUAUUUUACCUCACUUACAGCUAAUACCCAACACAAGCUAUGGUUAUAAUUGAAAACAGUAAAUAAAAAAUACUUCUAAUAGAUCAUUUUUGCUAGUACCCACUGUGUUCUCACUGCUCAAAUAGAUUAUCCACUUGAAAUUAAAUUCUAUUAAGGAAUAAAAAUAUAAAUAAGAAGGAAUUAAACAUUUAAAUGCUUGCUGUAAAUUUAAAAGUGAGAUCUGUUCAGUUUUCCUUAUAUUAAGCUCAGUGACAAUAGAUAGAUUACACUAAGUGUCAGUUAAGCAAGUAGAUGAAAAAUGAGUGAUUUUCGUCCUUCAGUUAAAUAUGGUGCUAAGUGGUAUGCACCAGCAUUAAAAGCAAAUUACUUAUCACUUCAACAAUCACAGCAUGAGAGCAUUCUAUUGAAAGCUGCAUUUCCAGUCUUUCUUGGUCCUCAGUUUUAUUAAAUAAAUCAACUGAUAAUGGUUGGAUAAGCAGAAGAAAAAGCCUGGAUGGCAUUAUGACAUUUCCAUUUUCUAAGCGCCUAUUCGAGAUAUCUCUAAAAUGGCCUUUUGUAAUCGCCAAGAAUUCACAGUCACAACUACAUACAAACCCACCCACACCCAUACCCGCACCCACACCUCACACACACUAUAUAAUCACUCUAAACUCUAGUCUUGUCUGACUUUUUGUGACCCCAUGGACUAUACAGUCCAUGGAAUUCUCCAGGU